rnacentral:rRNA from 1 species
AGCGAACGCUGGCGGCAGGCCUAACACAUGCAAGUCGAACGAACCCUUCGGGGUUAGUGGCGGACGGGUGAGUAACACGUGGGAACGUGCCUUUAGGUUCGGAAUAACUCAGGGAAACUUGUGCUAAUACCGAAUGUGCCCUUCGGGGGAAAGAUUUAUCGCCUUUAGAGCGGCCCGCGUCUGAUUAGCUAGUUGGUGAGGUAAUGGCUCACCAAGGCUACGAUCAGUAGCUGGUCUGAGAGGAUGUCCAGCCACAUUGGGACUGAGGCACGGCCAAAACUCCUACGGGAGGCAGCAGUGGGGAAUCUUGCGCAAUGGGCGAAAGCCUGACGCAGCCAUGCCGCGUGGAUGAUGAAGGUCUUAGGAUUGUAAAAUCCUUUCACCGGUGAAGAUAAUGACUGUAGCCGGAGAAGAAGCCCCGGCUAACUUCGUGCCAGCCGCCGCUGUAAGAC